CCGAGUGCGGGCCCGCUCUGGGCCCAACCUCCCACCCGUGUCUCUUGCGUACUUUGUUGCUUUGGCGGGCCCACUGGGUCCACCUGGUCGCCGGGGAGCGCUAUGUCCCCGGGCCCGCUGCCCGCCAGAGCACCUCUGUGAACCCUGAUGAAGAGAGGGCUGUCUGAGUACCAUGAUAAUUGUCUA
rnacentral:misc_RNA from 1 species